rnacentral:rRNA from 1 species
GACGAACGCUGGCGGCGUGCUUAACACAUGCAAGUCGAACGGUGAAGCGCCUUCCUUUUUGGUGGGUGGGGAUGAGUGGCGAACGGGUGAGUAACACGUGAGUAACCUGCCCCCUUCUUCUGGAUAACCGCAUGAAAGUGUGGCUAAUACGGGAUAUUCUGGGUCUGUCGCAUGAUGGGUCUGGGAAAGAUAUUGUUUCGGGGGGGGAUGGGCUCGCGGCCUAUCAGCUUGUUGGUGGGGUGAUAGCCUACCAAGGCGGUGACGGGUAGCCGGCCUGAGAGGGUGGACGGUCACACUGGGACUGAGACACCGCCCAGACUCCUACGGGAGGCAGCAGUGGGGAGUAUUGCACAAUGGGCGAAAGUCUGAUGCAGCGACGCCGCGUGAGGGAUGGAGGCCCUCGGGUGGUGAACCUCUUUCGCUAGUGAAGCAGGCCUGCCUCGUUUGUGGGUGGGUUGACGGUAGCUGGAUAAGAAGCGCCGGCUAACUACGUG